AGUGUUUGGGUGAAGACGGAGGCGGGUUCUGGACAGACCUACGCUGUCGGGGAGUGUUUACUUCGCCUCCACUUCUGUUCCUCCCCGCCCUGGUGCUGCUCCAGGUCACAUACUCUUCCUGAGCCGGCUUCAGCCUCUCCGCGCAGAAGUCUCCCGGAGCCAUGGCCUAGUAUUCUUAUGUGAAGUCUACCAAGCUUGUGCUCAAGGGAACCGAGUAAGAAGAAAAAGAGCAAAGAUAAGAAGAGAAAAAGAGAAGAUGAAGAAACCCAGCUUGAUAUGUUGAGGAACGCAGCUGCUCACCAGCAACGGAACAAAGCUGGACGGAGAAUGACUUUGAAGAGCUGAGAGAAGGCUUCAGACGAUCAAAUUACUCUGAGCUACGGGAGGACAUUCAAACCAAAGGCAAAGAAGUUGAAAACUUUGAAAAAAAUAAAUGUACAUUAAUUAACGUGGAAUCUGGUGAACAGUAACAAACUUUGGUGAAAUUUCAGGAACCAUAGCCAUUGAAGUGGAUGAGGGAACCUAUAUACAUGCACUCAACAAUGGUCUUUUUACCCUGGGAGCUCCACACAAAGAAGAAUCGCCCUGAAACCUGGCUAUGGAAAAUAUCUUAGUAUAAAUUCAGAUGAACUUGUUGUUGGCGUUCAGAUGCAAUUGGACCAAGAGAACAAUGGGAACCAGUCUUUCAAAAUGGUGCCUGUGCAGCAGUAUUCACUGUGAUAGGAAGUGAGAAGCAGUCUGAGUGUUCAUUGCUGAGGGAAUCAAGGGCAAAAUAUCAUGGAUGCACUCAUGGACAAAUAAGCAGCAGUUUGAAGCAACACCCUAGAUGGAUGUACAGCCAUCAAGAGGAUCUUAAAGUGUGGUCUUUAGUGGAAAAAAAGGUUACAUUUGAACAUAUUUAUCUGCUAAAGCGAAAUGUUUCCCAUCAUUCUAUAGCAGAAGCAAUGUAUGGGAGACUGAGUAAUUACAUAUGAGCUCACAUCACUAUCUCUUCCACCACUGUCAUCCAUCAUGACUGAUCUGGGAGAUGAAACAGCACAGAUCUAAAGGACGUGCUUAUUUUGGGAGAGGCCAGCUGCCAUGUCAUGAAGACACUCAAGAAGCCCUGUGAAGAGGAAGCAAGGCCUGCCAACAACAGCCAGCACCAACUUUCCAGCCAAGGGAUUGAGCCAUCUCACAGUGGAUCCUCCAGCCCCCACCAAGCCUUCAUAUGACCAAACCAAUACCAACAUGUAACUGUGACCUCAUGUGAGUCCCCAAGCCAGAAUACCCAUCUCCUGUCUCAGAAAUGAUGAGAAAUAAUAAAUAUAUGUGCUCACACACAUUACCAUCUAA
rnacentral:lncRNA from 1 species